rnacentral:rRNA from 1 species
GACGAACGCUGGCGGCGUGCUUAACACAUGCAAGUCGAACGGAAAGGCCCUGCUUUUGUGGGGUGCUCGAGUGGCGAACGGGUGAGUAACACGUGAGUAACCUGCCCUUGACUUUCGGAUAACUUCAGGAAACUGGGGCUAAUACCGGAUAGGAGCUCCUGCUGCAUGGUGGUGGUUGGAAAGUUUCGGCGGUUGGGGAUGGACUCGCGGCUUAUCAGCUUGUUGGUGGGGUAGUGGCUUACCAAGGCUUUGACGGGUAGCCGGCCUGAGAGGGUGAACGGCCACAUUGGGACUGAGAUACGGACCAGACGCGUACGGGAGGCAGCAGUGGGGAAUAUUGCACAAUGGGCGGAAGCCUGAUGCAGAAACGCCGCGUGCGGGAUGCCGGCCUUCGGGUUGUAAACCGCUUUCGCAUGUGACGAAGCGUGAGUGACGGUAACGGGUAAAGAAGCACCGGCUAACUACGUG